AUCCAAAUUAUAAACAAAAAAAGCUUUAGAUAUUUUGUUGAAGUGGUUACGAUUAAAUUAUCCGAUUUAUGUGAAUCCUAAGAAUCAUAUUACAACCGAUCGAUAGGGAGGAAAAGGAAAAGGAUGAGGAGAAGUGGAGAGGGAGAUUUUCAAUAAGGACGAUAUUUGAAAACAUGUCAACACUAAUAACAUGGACUGUUCGAUGACCAAAGGAAUGCGUCGCACACGCAAAGGAAUGAUCGCAUAAAACCUUAUUGCGACAACCAAAGAAUUCAACGUUGUCUUUCAUCCUGACACCUAAUGUCAAAGAAAAUUGUUCACUGCUGGUGUUUCUGAGGCUCUCACAACGAAAGAAAUGAAACUAAGCCAAACUAUUCUGACUGUUUCUACGAACUCUUCUAAUGGCGGCAUUCGAUGCUUGAUAAAACUUUUCGCCUCUCGUGUCGUCUCGUAACUUCAAUUUAUAUAAGCCGUUGGAAAAGCUUUUCUACCGGAUGUCUCCGGAAAAAAAAAAAAAAAAAAAAAGAAAAAUCUUUCAUUUAUUAUCUGUCUAUUCUUCAUACGAUAUAUUCUUAUUAUUUUUUGUCUUGUUUGCUUGUUUUUUUUUUUUUCGUUAAACAUUACAAAUAUUGUCCAUCGAAUAAGUUAAACUUCAAUGAAAAUUUUACA